UCAGUUAGCAAUUGAAGCAUUCAUUUUGCUAAUUUGAAUGUUUCACUUGGUACUUGG
rnacentral:pre_miRNA from 1 species